rnacentral:rRNA from 1 species
ACCGGCGCACGGGUGAGCAACGCGUAUCCAACCUGCCCCACGGUGAGGGAUAACCCGCGGAAACGCGGCCUAAUACCUCAUGGUCUCCGAGUUUGCCAUCAACCUUGGAGUAAAGAUUCAUUGCCGUGGGAUGGGGAUGCGUCUGAUUAGCUUGUUGGCGGGGCAACGGCCCACCAAGGCAACGAUCAGUAGGGGUUCUGAGAGGAAAGCCCCCCACAUUGGAACUGAGACACGGUCCAAACUCCUACGGGAGGCAGCAGUGAGGAAUAUUGGUCAAUGGGCGAGAGCCUGAACCAGCCAAGUAGCGUGCAGGAUGACGGCCCUAUGGGUUGUAAACUGCUUUUAUGCGGGGAUAAAGCGGGCGACGUGUCGCCCUUUGCAGGUACCGCAUGAAUAAGGACCGGAUAAUUCCGUGCCAGCAGCCGCGGUAAUACGGAAGGUCCGGGCGUUAUCCGGAUUUAUUGGGUUUAAAGGGAGCGCAGGCCGGGUAUUAAGCGUGUUGUGAAAUGUAGGCGCCCAACGUCUGCACCGCAGCGCGAACUGGUGCCCUUGAGUACGCACGACGUUGGCGGAAUUCGCCGUGUAGCGGUGAAAUGCUUAGAUAUGGCGAAGAACUCCGAUUCCGAAGGCAGCUGACGGGAGCGCUACUGACGCUCAUGCUCGAAAGCGCGGGUAUCGAACAGGAUUAGAU